rnacentral:tRNA from 1 species
GGGAGUAGAGCUCGGUGUUAGAGUGCGAGCUUAGCGUGCACGAGGUCCUGGGUUCAAUCCCCAGUCCCUCCA